CUCAGUUCGGAUCGGAGGUCUGCAACCCGACUCCGUGAAGCUGGAUUCGCUAGUAAUCGCGCAUCAGCCAUGGCGCGGUGAAUACGUUCCCGGGCCUUGUACACACCGCCCGUCAAGCCAUGGAAGCCGGGAGUGCCUGAAGUAUGCAACCGCAAGGAGCGUCCUAAGGUAAAACCGGUGACUGGGGCUAAGUCGUAACAAGGUAGC
rnacentral:rRNA from 1 species